CUUAGCAGGGCUAGCCCUUAACAUUGCAAUCCGGGGCAAGGGUAGCUCGUAAGCCUUUGGUAUCCCGGGGUUAGCGGCGGACGGGUGAGUAACACGUGGGUAACCUGCCCAUAAGGACUGGGAUAACUCCGGGAAACCGGGGCUAAUACCGGAUAACAUUUUGAACUGCAUGGUUCGAAAUUGAAAGGCGGCUUCGGCUGUCACUUAUGGAUGGACCCGCGUCGCAUUAGCUAGUUGGUGAGGUAACGGCUCACCAAGGCAACGAUGCGUAACCGACCUGAAAAGGUGAUCGGCCACACUGGGACUGAAACCCCGCCCAAACUCCUUCGGGAGGCAGCAGUAGGGAAUCUUCCCCCAUGGACGAAAGUCUGACGAAGCAACGCCGCGUCCCUGAUGAAGGCCUUCGGGUCGUAAAGCUCUGUUGUUAGGGAAGAACAAGUACCAGAAUAGGUCGGCACCUUGACGGUACCUAACCAGAAAGCCACGGCUAACUACGUGCCAGCAGCCGCGGUAAUACGUAGGUGGCAAGCGUUGUCCGGAAUUAUUGGGCGUAAAGCGCGCGCAGGUGGUUUCUUAAGUUUGAUGUGAAAGCCCGCGGCUCAACCGUGGAGGGUCAUUGGAAACUGGGAGACUUGAGUGCAGAAGAGGAAAGUG
rnacentral:rRNA from 1 species